rnacentral:rRNA from 1 species
UAAAACGUAGGGGACGAGCGUUAUCCGGAUUUACUGGGCGUAAAGCGCAUGUAGGUGGCGCGGAAAGUUGGACGUGAAAGCUCCCGGCUUAACUGGGAGAGGUCGUACAAAACUACCGUGCUUGAGGUUGGAAGAGGAGAGCGGAAUUCCCGGUGUAGUGGUGGAAUGCGUAGAUAUCGGGAGGAACACCAGUGGCGAAAGCGGCUCUCUGGUUCAAUACUGACACUGAGAUGCGAAAGCGUGGGGAGCGAACGGGAUUAGAUACCCCGGUAGUCCACGCUGUAAACGAUGGAUACUAGGUGUAGGCGGUCAUUAACCCCGUCUGUGCCGAAGCUAACGCGUUAAGUAUCCCGCCUGGGGACUACGGCCGCAAGGUUA